rnacentral:rRNA from 1 species
CCUACGGGGUGCAGCAGUGGGGAAUAUUGGGCAAUGGGCGCAAGCCUGACCCAGCAACGCCGCGUGAAGGAAGAAGGCUUUCGGGUUGUAAACUUCUUUUCUCAGGGACGAAGCAAGUGACGGUACCUGAGGAAUAAGCCACGGCUAACUACGUGCCAGCAGCCGCGGUAAUACGUAGGUGGCAAGCGUUAUCCGGAUUUACUGGGUGUAAAGGGCGUGUAGGCGGGAAAGCAAGUCAGAUGUGAAAACCAUGGGCUCAACCUGUGGCCUGCAUUUGAAACUGUUUUUCUUGAGUACUGGAGAGGCAGACGGAAUUCCUAGUGUAGCGGUGAAAUGCGUAGAGAUUAGGAGGAACACCAGUGGCGAAGGCGGUCUGCUGGACAGCAACUGACGCUGAGGCGCGAAAGCGUGGGGAGCAAACAGGAUUAGAUACCCCUGUAGUC